UAUAAGACGGGAUAACUUCGGGAAACCGGAGCUAAUGCCGGAUAACAUUUGGAACCGCAUGGUUCUAAAGUAAAAGAUGGUUUUGCUAUCACUUAUAGAUGGACCCGCGCCGUAUUAGCUAGUUGGUAAGGUAACGGCUUACCAAGGCAACGAUACGUAGCCGACCUGAGAGGGUGAUCGGCCACACUGGAACUGAGACACGGUCCAGACUCCUACGGGAGGCAGCAGUAGGGAAUCUUCCGCAAUAGACGAAAGUCUGACGGAGCAACGCCGCGUGAGUGAUGAAGGUUUUCGGAUCGUAAAACUCUGUUAUUAGGGAAGAACAAAUGUGUAAGUAACUGUGCACAUCUUGACGGUACCUAAUCAGAAAGCCACGGCUAACUACGUGCCAGCAGCCGCGGUAAUACGUAGGUGGCAAGCGUUAUCCGGAAUUAUUGGGCGUAAAGCGCGCGUAGGCGGUUUCUUAAGUCUGAUGUGAAAGCCCACGGCUCAACCGUGGAGGGUCAUUGGAAACUGGGAAACUUGAGUGCAGAAGAGGAAAGUGGAAUUCCAUGUGUAGCGGUGAAAUGCGCAGAGAUAUGGAGGAACACCAGUGGCGAAGGCGACUUUCUGGUCUGUAACUGACACUGAUGUGCGAAAGCGUGGGGAUCAAACAGGAUUAGAUACCCUGGUAGUCCACGCCGUAAACGAUGAGUGCUAAGUGUUAGGGGGUUUCCGCCCCUUAGUGCUGCAGCUAAC
rnacentral:rRNA from 1 species